rnacentral:misc_RNA from 1 species
GACAGAGGGUGCAAACGUUGUUCGGAAUUACUGGGCGUAAAGCGUGUGUAGGCGGCUACGAAAGUCGGAUGUGAAAGCCCCGGGCUCAACCCGGGAAGUGCACCCGAAACUGCGUGGCUCGAGUACCGGAGAGGUUGGUGGAAUUCUCGGUGUAGAGGUGAAAUUCGUAGAUAUCGAGAGGAACACCGGUGGCGAAGGCGGCCAACUGGACGAGUACUGACGCUGAGGUACGAAAGCAUGGGGAGCAAACAGG